UGUGUGUUUUGUGCAAUUAUA
rnacentral:piRNA from 1 species